rnacentral:rRNA from 1 species
AGUGAACGCUGGCGGUAGGCCUAACACAUGCAAGUCGAACGGCAGCACAGUAAGAGCUUGCUCUUACGGGUGGCGAGUGGCGGACGGGUGAGGAAUACAUCGGAAUCUACUUUUUCGUGGGGGAUAACUUAGGGAAACUUACGCUAAUACCGCAUACGACCUACGUGUGAAAGCACGGGAUCUUCGGACCUUGCGCGAUUGAAUGAGCCGAUGUCGGAUUAGCUAUUUGGCGGGUUAAAGGCCCACCAAGGCGACGAUCCGUAGCUGGUCUGAGAGGAUGGUAAGCCACACUGGAACUUGGAGACGGUCCAUAGUCCUACGGGAGGCAGCAGGGGGGAAUAUUGGACAAUGGGCGCAGGCCUGAUCCAGCCAUACCGCGUGGGUGAAGAAGGCCUUCGGGUUGUAAAGCCCUUUUGUUGGGAAAGAAGAGCAGCAGGUUAAUACCCCGCUAUUCUGACGGUACCCAAAGAAUAAGCACCGGCUAACUUCGUG